rnacentral:siRNA from 1 species
GACAUUAGGUUUAUUGGAUUGGUC